rnacentral:rRNA from 1 species
AACGCUGGCGGCAUGCUUACACAUGCAAGUCGAACGGCAGCACGGGAGCAAUCCUGGUGGCGAGUGGCGAACGGGUGAGUAAUACAUCGGAACGUGCCCAAUCGUGGGGGAUAACGCAGCGAAAGCUGUGCUAAUACCGCAUGAGAUCUACGGAUGAAAGCAGGGGACCGCAAGGCCUUGCGCGAAUGGAGCGGCCGAUGGCAGAUUAGGUAUUUGGUGAGGUAAAGGCCCACCAAGCCUGCGAUCUGUAGCUGGUCUGAGAGGACGACCAGCCACACUGGGACCGAGACACGGCCCAGACUCCUACGGGAGGCAGCAGUGGGGAAUUUUGGACAAUGGGCCCAAGCCUGAUCCAGCCAUGCCGCGUGCAGGAUGAAGGCCUUCGGGUUGUAAACUGCUUUUGUACGGAACGAAAAGGCUUUCUCUAAUAAAGGGGGCUCAUGACGGUACCGUAAGAAUAAGCACCGGCUAACUACGUGCCAGCAGCCGCGGUAAUACGUAGGGUGCAAGCGUUAAUCGGAAUUACUGGGCGUAAAGCGUGCGCAGGCGGUGAUGUAAGACAGUUGUGAAAUCCCCGGGCUCAACCUGGGAACUGCAUCUGUGACUGCAUCGCUGGAGUGCGGCAGAGGGGGAUGGAAUUCCGCGUGUAGCAGUGAAAUGCGUAGAUAUGCGGAGGAACACCGAUGGCGAAGGCAAUCCCCUGGGCCUGCACUGACGCUCAUGCACGAAAGCGUGGGGAGCAAACAGGAUUAGAUACCCUGGUAGUCCACGCCCUAAACGAUGUCAACUGGUUGUUGGGUCUUCACUGACUCAGUAACGAAGCUAACGCGUGAAGUUGACCGCCUGGGGAGUACGGCCGCAAGGUUGAA